rnacentral:rRNA from 1 species
UACAGGGGGUGCGAGCGUUGUUCGGAAUUACUGGGCGUAAAGCGCGCGCAGGCGGCUUCUUAAGUCCAUCGGUGAAAUGCCGGGGCUCAACCCCGAGCCGGCCGAGGAUACUGGGAGGCUGGAGACGAGUAGAGGCAAGCGGAAUUCCGGGUGUAGCGGUGGAAUGCGUAGAGAUCCGGAAGAACACCGGAGGCGAAGGCGGCUUGCUGGGCUUGGUCUGACGCUGAGGCGCGAAAGCGUGGGGAGCGAACAGG